rnacentral:lncRNA from 1 species
UCAAUUUGACAUUUAAGGUAUCUGCAGUUGCAUUUUGGUUUAGUUUAAGUUGCUUGGGAGUUAAGUUUCUUCACUGUUAGUUCUCUACUGAUCCCAAUUCUUCUCUUAUGUUUAUUUUUUUGGUCAAACUUGAUUUGAUAAAAGGGGAGGGUUUUUGAAGGGAUCCAACCCAUUUUCCAUCUAACGGACUUUCUUGCCAAGUCAAAGUGCCAUAUGACGAUCCAGUCAUGCCUUAUCAGGUCGUAAGACUCUAAAUGCAUAGACUGAUCCAGACGAAUCAAUGGAAAGUACCGAUUAUCUGAUCCAAGUCAAAGCAGUGCAGAUGAUUUGAAGUAGAUGAGACAAUCUCCUAGCAUUCAUACUAUGAUUUUAUAAUUAGAUUACAGUCACACACUUACCUAUGUCUUAGAGUCGGUUUGGUUCAGUCUUUUUGACAUUUCUUGCGCACUUUUUCUCAUAUCACUUGAACGCUUCAGCAGGCGAAAUCACCCAACAGUUUUUGAUUUUCUCUCUUUGAUCAAAUGGUUUAUUUCUCUGAGUUUCUCUUUGGUUUUACUUUGAGUUUUCUGUGACUAAAAUGAAGAAGUG